rnacentral:pre_miRNA from 1 species
CAACUACUCCCUCUAUCCCAAAUUUCUUGUCUUAGAUUUGUCUAGAUACGAAUGUAUCUAAUACUAAAAUGUGACUUGAUACAUCCAUAUAUAGACAAAUCUAAGACAAGAAUUUUGGGACGGAGGGAGUACUUU